GGAUUAGGCAUGCAAGUCGAACGUGAUCCUUGCUUCGGUAAGGUGAAAGUGGCGAAAGGGUGAGUAAUGCAUAGCUAACCUACCCCCGGCACUGGGAUAACCCGGAGAAAUCUGGGCUAAGACCGGAUAGGCUCGCUUGGGCGCAUGCUCGAGCGAGUAAAGGAGGCCUCUUAACAAUGCUUCUGGCUGGGGACGGAACUAUGUCCUAUCAGCUAGUUGGUGGGGUUACGGCCCACCAAGGCGAUGACGGGUAGCCGACCUGAGAGGGUGACCGGCCACACUGGGACUGAGACACUGCCCAGACUCCUACGGGAGGCUGCAGUCGAGAAUCUUCCGCAAUGGGGGCAACCCUGACGGAGCGACGCCGCGUGCGGGAUGAAGGCCUUCGGGUUGUAAACCGCUGUCACACGUUAAGAAGGAGACGGAGUUAAAAGCUCUGGCUCUUGACAAAGGCGUGGGAGGAAGCCACGGCUAACUUCGUGCCAGCAGCCGCGGUAAGACGAAGGUGGCGACCGUUGUUCGGAAUCACUGGGCAUAAAGAGCUCGUAGGCGGUGAGGAAAGUCGGGUGUGAAAUCCCUCGGCCCAACCGAGGAACUGCGCCCGAAACUACCUUGCUUGAGGACGGAAGGGGAGCGUGGAAUUCCUGGUGGAGCGGUGAAAUGCGUUGAUAUCAGGAGGAACACCGGCGGCGAAGGCGACGCUCUGGUCCGUAUCUGACGCUGAGGAGCGAAAGCUAGGGGAGCAAACGGGAUUAGAUACCCCGGUAGUCCUAGCCGUAAACGAUGGGCACUAAGUAGAGGGGUUUU
rnacentral:rRNA from 1 species